CCUACGGGAGGCAGCAGUGAGGAAUAUUGGUCAAUGGGCGGAAGCCUGAACCAGCCAAGUAGCGUGCAGGAUGACGGCCCUACGGGUUGUAAACUGCUUUUAUACGGGAAUAACGCGCCUUACGUGUAGGGCUUUGCAUGUACCGUAUGAAUAAGGACCGGCUAAUUCCGUGCCAGCAGCCGCGGUAAUACGGAAGGUCCGGGCGUUAUCCGGAUUUAUUGGGUUUAAAGGGAGCGUAGGCCGCAUGUCAGGCGUGCUGUGAAAUGUCCGGGCUCAACCCGGGCCUUGCAGCGCGAACUGGCGUGAGUGAGUCGGCGGAAAGCAGGCGGAAUUCGGCGUGGAGCGGGGAAAUUGUUAG
rnacentral:rRNA from 1 species